CACAAAACAUGAGUUAAAGAUCAGAGCAGCUUCAAAUCAGCUCACUGACUGUCAGUCAUCCCACAUGUGGCUAAUAUGACAAAACUUAAAAGUCUAAUUUCACAUGAAACUGUCAUGGUGAAUAAUACUAUUUAUUCAAUGAAAAUAAUUUUAUAAAUGAGUUGAGAACAAAUUGUAUGUUUUGUUUCUUUUUUCUUGAGGAUUUAUUGAACCACCUGUAUUUGUGCACACGGAUGAGGAAGUGCCGCAGUGCUUUUACCCUUUUAAUAUGAACAAAUAAAUCACUCUAGAAUGAACAUUUACAUAAAAUGAGUGUAAAAAAAGCACACGCCUCAUUUGCUUGUACUUUAACCUUUAUUAAGCAGAACUAUUAUUAAAUGACCACAAAGUUGUUUAACUUUUAUUAAAAUGAUCAUUAUUUUACUGAUAUUUACAAACAAAUAAGAAAUCUGUAUUUUGGAAAUAGGAAAUAUUAAUCCGGCAACAAUUUACAGGCAUUUUAAAAGUUAUUUCCAUUAUCUAGUUGCUUGGAAAAUUGAACAACGACGUGAUAAGUAGUAUAAAUUUGUAAAAUAAUCUGAAGUAAAAUCAACUCUUAAUGACAAUUCUGAGUUAAAACCCCUAAAUAGCUAUUUGUAAUUGUUUUCCACCUAAAAGAAUAAAAGUUAUUGUGUCAAAAUGUAAAAGAAUUUCCUCUAAAAUAUUGCAGUUAGACGAAUCGCCCUCAGUGAGGGGAAGGGGUGUUUUGUGUAACUUGGUCACAUGUCACCAUAAACAAACUGCAGUUUGACACCUUCGCCUCAAGCGCAGACACGCUCCGGUCAGAAACUGUCCCCGCACCAGUUAGAGACGGGCAGCUAUGGCGACUGUGGUGGACACGCAGGCUCAGCCACAAGUAGCUCUAUGUCUUCUUCCCCCAUAAAAUCCCGUCUCCACAUGAGAAAGAAGCUCUUCAGGCUCUCACUGUCGGUUCUGGAGGCUUGUAUGAACAAUUGUGGAAAGCGGUUCCGCAGCGAGGCAGCUAAGUUUCGCUUUCUGAAUGAACU